rnacentral:rRNA from 1 species
AGAGCGAACGCUGGCGGCGUGCUUAACACAUGCAAGUCGAGUGCGCGCCUGUAGCAAUACAGGUGGCGCACGGCGCACGGGUGCGUAACACGUGGGUAAUCUGCCCUUCGAUGGGGAAUAACUCCGGGAAACCGAAGCUAAUUCCGCAUAACAUUCCUUGGACCUCGGUCUGGGGAUUCAAAGCCGUAAGGCGUCGGAGGAGGAACCCGCGCACGAUUAGUUAGUUGGCAGGGUAACGGCCUACCAAGACUUUGAUCGUUAGCUGGU